CGGGCCGUACAUUCUUGAGAAUUUCAAUUGAAUUCAAUCACAUGAUAUUUCUUAUUUAUAUCCAAUAUAGCCUAUCUAUUUAGUAUAAACAAAAUAAGCGUAAAAUGUUGCUAUAAGUUAUGUAAUGAGUAAUGAAAAAAGGACUAAAACCUAGAAGCUAACAUUUAAUUACAUAAAAAAAAAAUGAUGAAUGCAUAUUUAGUAUUGCACGGUUCCAUAAAAUGCUGAAAUGGGCCUGUGAUUAAUUUCAUUCAGCCUGCAUGAUCAGAACAUUUUUAUUCGUUUCUUGGUGUAUUUUAGGAUUAUACGAACGUUUGGAUCAAGAAACGUCCAACUGUGCCACAGUAAACCCGAAUAAUUUCGACCCUCUCAUUUGGAUCAUUUAUACAGGUAAUUGGCACUUUCUUCAAGUUAUUGUGCUCUAAAUGUAUUAUUACUGUAUAGUAGCACAGAGUUGUGUUCCUGACGGGUUUAAGAAAUCAAGCGUAGCCUAAUUUUAACUCAAAUAGCAUGGCAAUUUAUUAAACAAACAAUGCAGUUCCUUCAGAAUACUUUUUCAACAAGAGGAGAUAAUUUGAAAGAAUAUGGCGUUAUACAUGUUCCGUUCCUUGUUAUAGUGGAACAUUUGGACUAUGAAUGCAGUUCAAUUUAGAAACACUUUUUGGUGUUUGGUCCAUAAUAUCCGGCUACACUUUAGAAAUAAAUUACUAUAUGCAAUUUACACGUAAUAACAAGUCCAUAAACGUGUGACGCACGUCAACACAGCCCAGCAUAUAGCUCACAAAAACGAAGAAGACUUACGUGUUAUUCGAAGUAACACUGUCCUUAACAAACCAAGAUCUAGUUCGGUUUCUGUUCAGUCCAUCUCGGGGGUAGAGUAGGUAAAUAUCAACGUGUCUCGGUAUCAAGAAAAGGCAAAAUCAACAACAACAAAACGAAGAAGAAGAACGAAAAAUACUUGUUUGGUCAAAACUUGCUGCAGUCAUACACAAAAGCCCCUGACGUGCGGUAUAUGGGCUGACUCGGAGGAAACGACAUUUGACAGCUGUUAUUCCCGUUCACCGGUGAAUUAUUCAGACCGAUUCUCUGCGAUUCAAACAUCUCUCGAACCGAAUGGAAGUUCUGCUGCUGCGCAGGGUACGUGGCGCCCAGGUGGCCAAUGUCUCCGGCCUGGUUUAGGUACCAUGACGCGAGGCGCCCUUGGUGCGCAUGGUGGCCCUCCUGAGGAUUCCCGUGGUUUAAGGACGACGUGGUGGUCGUGAUCGAGUAAUCGGGCAGAGUUUCGUCCACGGUGGUAGUGGCGGCCAGGUGUCCCGAGCGAUCCCCGCCCGCGUACAAGCUCAUGGCCUGCAUGUUGCAGUGAUAGGUGGCAUUGGAGGUAGUCGAGAUAGAGUUCUGGCUGCAGGGCGAGCUAUACACGGACGUCUGAUUGGGCGAAUAGUUCAGGGACAAUGUGGGAGUUAUACCUGUCCGUGAGGAGGCCACGAGAGACGGGGUGAGCUCGCCGGAGCUCUGAGGCGAGCCGCGGAGGGAGGUCAUGAUGUUAUCCACGCUGAAGCCCUGCGCGGGGGCCUGGCCGUGGUGGUGAUGCUGCUGCUGCUGCUGCUGCUGCUGCUGCUGUUCCCCGGCGCUGUCCAGGCUGAGAGAGCGGGUGGACGGGAUGCUGUGCGGGCUGCCGCUCGACAUGCUGCUGCUGCUGCUGUCGGGGCUCUCAAUCUUGGGAACAGUUCUUAGCGAGGGCGAAACAGCCUGCGGCGGCGUGGACGUGCCGUUCUCGGUUUUAAUGUCCUGAAUGCGCACGGGCUGCGAGCCCGGCACCGACUGCUCCUGGUCGCGGCCCGUCUGCUGCUGUGGCGGCUGAUUCUGCUGCUGGCGGGAAGGCGCUUCCUUCACAGUUCGCUCUUCCUUAUCCUUUGAGGCGUCCUUCUUUUUGAAACGCCGCCGUCGCCUCAAAAAGCUGCCGUUCUCAAACAUAUUAUACGAGUCCGGGUCGAGAGACCAGUAGCUGCCUUUGCCAGGUUUUUUGUCAUCGCGGGGCACUUUGACAAAGCACUCGUUCAGGGACAGAUUGUGUCUGAUACUGUUCUGCCAGCCCUGCUUGUUGUCCCUGUAAAAGGGGAAGCGCUCCAUUAUGAACUGAUAAAUGCCGUUUAGGGUCACCUUCUUGUCCGGGGAGUUCUGGAUGGCCAUCGUGAUGAGCGCAAUGUAACUGUACGGCGGUUUUACCAUAUCCUUGGGCUGCGGCUGCGGCGUGUACGGUCCGUACGCCCUCGCCAUGCUGGCAGGGUACUGCUCAUGGGCCGCGUGAGAGUACAUGCUCAUGGGGGCUGGCAUCCCGGUGUACCCCCCUCCGGCGGCGGCCCGGUAAUAACUUUGGUCGCUGCUGAUGUACGGCACGACUCCCAGCGAGUUGGGACUGGAGACGGAAUAGCGCGCCUGCAUGACUUCUCUCCAAACGGCGCUGGCGAAGAACAGACAAGUCAAGAAGUUUGAAGCAAUCCACAAACCCGCUUGAAACUGGGAAGGCAGUCCAACCGAGAGUCCACGUUCUGCCACCGUAUUUAUAAAAUGUGACUAUUGGAUUGGACUCGCGUACUGGCCACCUCUUUCUGUCGGAGAGCGCAUUGAAAAACUUCUGAACGCUAAGCAUCGGUCACUACAUAAUGCUUUU
ensembl:lncRNA